UGAGCUGCUGUGGGCAUGUUCAUUGAGACAAUCCAUUUUAUCUCUGGAUUUCAGCUGACAGUGUUUUCAGAAGUUACUCCAUCUCCCUCAGUCUACAGGCUGACCUCUAAAGAUGACCAGGAUCUGGAAAUGUGCCUUAUCACAGAUUACUCCCCUGAAAAGCUCACUCUUAACUCAGCUGAGCAGCACACAUCCACUGUGGUGGAGGUGGCAGCUGCUGGGAACAGAGAGGAAUCCAGCUACCUGUCCACCUACUGGGCCAGGAGAGAUGAGCUGCAGUGCAGUGCCAGCCACGAGGGCUUUGGAGAGCUGGAGGGCGAGGACCCUGAGAGUGGUGCCAGUGCUGUCUGUGUCACAGGGCUGUCCCUACACUUCAGGACAGAUGAACACUUGAACACACUGUCUUUAUCACAGCUGGGCCUCAAAAUAGUUUUAAUGAAAGGAAUCAUUUUUAAUGUGCUGAUGACGAUGCUUUUGUGGAAGAAAAAAAAAGGACUGAAAGUAACCAGGUGCUGCAGUCCUGAAAUACCAAAACCAUCUGCUUUGAGAGAGCUUUGAGAGAGCAUCGUGAGCAAGAGGGAGCACAGGGAUAUUCCUUGUGCAAGGGCCAUCACUUGCUGUUCUUAUAAACCACACCAGCCAUUAUAUUCUAAAUUGCUUUAUUUACAUUGAUUUCAAACUACUCAAAAUGAAGCAUUUCCAGCAUUCUGCCCUCCAGAUGCCAGGGUCAUUCACCAUACCAUGCCUCUUGUGCAUGAAGCUGACUUUGCUACAAUUAAACAUUGCCAAGCAUCGCUGUUACUUGCAUUAAAAUGAUGAGUUCUGCCUGGAGCAGUGCUGUUUGUUAAAAACUGCAAGCUAAAUAUCACCUGAAUGGGAAUUUUUCCUAUUUUGGUAGUUUUAGGGUAUUCAUGUCUCUUAGGGUGCACCCCCAGAAACCUUUUCAGGUGCAAAUGAAACACUGAAAAGCAGAGGGAGUAUGCGCUGUCCUGCCACCCUUUGCUAGAUCAGAGCAAGAUAUCCCUUUUUUCCCACUAAAGGAAGAGCUGCAGGACUCCCAGAAGUCCCAAAUUCAGUGAAAUGGUCACUUCAAUAUCAUAGAAAAAAAAAAAAAAAAGAAAAAUAAUAUUUUUUAAAAGUCUAUCUGACCAUAACAUCUUUCUAAUUUAAACCAGUUUAAGAUUUGACUUUGUAUUUAGCAAUUUUUUUUUGUUUACUUCCAACAAUGUGAGAUCUCCCAAGUUCUUUUUGUAAUAAUUGCAUAAAAAUAUACUGAAAUAUUUACCACCUUGGAACAGUGCUUGCUUGUGGCAUCUGCAUGCUGUUAAUUCAUGAACUGUACUGGCACCAAGAUGUCUUGGCAUUUCUUUAGGCUGUUAUCAAACAAUUCUUAUAAAAAAUGAGAAAUUUGUUUGUCUUG